UUUUACAAAUUCUCACAGCGGAUUCCGCAGUGAAUAAAGUUUCCGAAGUUAAACAAUAACCGCAACAAAAGCGCCGCUCAACCUGCUCAAGUGAGAUUGUUUACAUUUGGAACUAUAAUUUAAGACUCACAUCACGCUCAAAUAAUCUUGGUAUUUCGCAUUCUGAUGACACCAUUUGACAUCUCGUGUGAAUUAAAAUCGGCAGUGAACUCGAUUUUUUAUGUCAAAUUAAAAGUUGCUUUUUCCUAAUAUAGCGAAGUUAAAGGCUGUUUUACGUGAAAAUAUUCAAAUAUAGGACAAUCUAUAUAUAUAUAUAUAUAUAUAUAUGUGAAGGCCCGUCCACUUUAAACCUCUAUUUCAAUAAAUACAUUAUGUAAAUAAUAAAAAAAACCUUAAUACAAUAUCUAUAGAUGGCGAAGAAAAAGGCAUGAAACGACCAAUUGGUUUCUCGGCCUUGGUUACUAUCGCUAUAUAUUUUUUCCAAUACCCAAGACAUUAUGUGGUAUUUACGAAACCUAAAACAUUUCCUAUAUGGGCUGCUGAGAUGAACGAAGAGUCUAGUAAAUAGAUAAUCUAAGAGUUCCAAUGUUCCAAAAAUCCUGGUUGAAUUUUUCUGCCUUUGAAGAAGAAUAUCACAUUUGUAUCAAUGACAAGGACCCUGGAUAUAGAAAAACACAAUAGUGCAGAUAUUUUCAAAUAAUUAAAUUUCAACUAUCUUUCAAUUUAUAAUAAAUGAUAUCACAGCCCGAACAACCAAAAUUGGCGGUUCUUACAUCUUUAUAAAUAUUGAUAGGUAUAACAUUAAGGUUUUGAAUAAAAACAUUAUUCGCUUUACACAAGUAUAAAAUACCAUCAUUAUGUACAUGAUAGUUUAAG